GCAUUCUGUAUUGGAUACACACAGAAAAUGCCACACCAGAACAGACCUACAUAGUCUUGUAUCCAUCCUCUAACAAUAGCCAGUCCCAGGAACAUCCCAGGAAGAAGGCACAAAACCCAUCAUGAUGUGAUAUCAGAGACCCUGCUUUGUGUUUACAAGAGUACCUGACCUUAACAUUUACAACAAGGGGGCAAGAGAAAUGAAAUGUGAAAUGAGAAAUCUCUGCCAAACUUCUGCAGAUUGUGGAGGAAUAUCACUGCUGACAGGGAGGGGAAAAAAAUCUAUCAAGAAGCCCUGAGAUUUUCUACCUCUUCGUUACAACAUGAGUCCCUUACAUCUGCUUUACCUUCGCCUCUUCCCAUUUUUUCCACUGGAUAUACCACCAAAAAGGUACAGGGAUUUGAAGGAGGUGGAGCUCUUUAUAUUAUGCUAUUGUAUCAUGCAAUUUCACUACCCCAUAAAAAUGUUGGAAGAUCACUAAUUGCACGUGGACUUGAACAGCACAACUGACUGGUAAAGAGAUCCAAUUCCAAAGAACCCUCUGAAACAGAAUAUGAUGGAAGCAGUUACUUGACUGAACAGUAGAAAGCUGAGUUAAAUUUAAAAGUUAUUUGUGAACAGGUGCUCUUGCUUUGCAUCACUAGCGUUGACAGUAGGUGUCCCAGUAAGAAUGUCAUUGUGUCCUAUAAGCUACCCUGCCAAAGGCUAUUAUUAACUCUGAAGUGACACACAGAAGAGGUCUGAUCACUUGCAGAGGUUACCAAGUAGAAAUGAGUCUCCGCUUUGGAUUAGUUCAACAUUCCUAAAAAGAAAACCUAGUUCAAGAGCCUGGAAAAAUGAGAGGACAAAUUCUGAAUUGAAUUACACUGUUGUAAGUCCAGAGGGACACCACUGAUUUCAGUGGAGUUGCUCCAGGUUCACACCACCAUAACCGUUCAAAAUCUAAUCCUAUUCUAGUUAUUUUAUUUUAUGGACAACCCUCCUCCCCCACCCCGCCAGCCACUUUGUUUUAAAAAUGUAAUUAACAUAAUUUUUGCAGUAAAAGUGAACUAUAGUCACAUAAAUGCAUUGGUAUUAAAUUUGAAAUCUGUUUUGCUUUGAAUUAGCUGUGCAUUUAAAGACCUUUUCCUGGUUUGACAUACUAUUAUGGGGGAUCAAUUAUUUUAUUUCUAAGAGGCUCUGUAUAAUAAGGAGCUAAGCUCAAGAUAAUAUUUGCUUAUGGUAAAGGGUAAUGCCACUGAGUAAGGUUAAAAAAAACGGAUGUUUAUAAACCUUUAAAAUGGUUUCUGCUCUGCUCUUGCAGAUUAUACCUGUGAGAAUAUAAUAGGUUUUCACUGUAUCUCGAGGGCUUUAGCUCUUCACAGGAAGCAGUACAUAUAGAGUGCAUACCUCACAUUGAACAUAAAGUACACGCUGUACAUGCCCACAAGAGAGUUCAGAUUGAAAUCUCUCACAAUUGGACUAAGUCUCAAGUUGUAAACAACUAACAAACAGAAGCUCGCAUUGUACCCACAGGUACCCACAUUGAACCCACAGGAAGCCUUGAAUUAAUACAGUAAGGCCUCAGUAUUAAGAAAAACAACAAGCAGAUAGUCUGAACACUUCUAGCCUGAUUGAAUGUUUUUAAUGAAGUGACAAAACAUUUCCAAAUAUUCUGUUCUGUCCUCAAUUGGGUCUUGCGUGACACUUUGGAUGUAGUCAGAGAUUCUGUUUUGGUGAUCCAAAGCCUUAGUCAGGUAUGCAGAGGGGAUCUUUUCUGGAUGUUAU